rnacentral:rRNA from 1 species
GACAGAGGUCUCAAGCGUUAGGCGGAAUCACUGGGCUUAAAGCGUGUGUAGGCGGAUUCCUAAGUACCUUGUGAAAUCCCCCGGGCUUAACCCGGGAACUGCUUGGUAUACUGGGUGUCUUGAGCCAACUAGGGGCGACCGGAACAAACGGUGGAGCGGUGAAAUGCGUAGAUAUCGUUUGGAACGCCAAUGGUGAAAACAGGUCGCUGGGGUUGUGCUGACGCUGAGACACGAAAGCCAGGGGAGCGAACGGG